rfam:Schistosoma haematobium scaffold63_10, whole genome shotgun sequence.
AAUGUCUGGUGUCUCCUCAUUUACGGAUCUUUCGCCUUUUAAUAAAGAUUUCCGCGGGGAGGCACAAUACAAUGAGUCUUAUCUCAUAUUUAAUGUACUUAGGAUUAUUUCACGU